CCGAGCGGCGGGUAGAAUCCU
rnacentral:snRNA from 1 species